UGCAGUCGAGGGGCAGCAGGGGUAGCAAUACUCGCUGGCGACCGGCAAACGGGUGCGGAACACGUACGCAACCUUCCUUCAAGCGGGAGAUAGCCCGGAGAAAUCCGGAUUAAUAUCCCAUAGGAUUGUGGAUCGGCAUCGAUCAGCAAUUAAAGAUUUAUCACUUGAAGAUGGGCGUGCGUCUGAUUAGGUAGUUGGUGAGGUAACGGCUCACCAAGCCGACGAUCAGUAACUGGCGUGAGAGCGCGACCAGUCACACGGGCACUGAGACACGGGCCCGACUCCUACGGGAGGCAGCAGUAAGGAAUAUUGGUCAAUGGACGCAAGUCUGAACCAGCCAUGCCGCGUGGAGGAUGAAGGUCCUCUGGAUUGUAAACUUCUUUUAUCUGGGAAGAAAUGGUUGCUUUCUAGCGAUCUUGACGGUACCAGAUGAAUAAGCACCGGCUAACUCCGUGCCAGCAGCCGCGGUAAUACGGAGGGUGCAAGCGUUAUCCGGAUUCACUGGGUUUAAAGGGUGCGUAGGCGGAACAGAAAGUCCGUUGUGAAAUCUCCGAGCUUAACUCGGAAAUUGCGGUGGAUACUAUUGUUCUUGAAUAUUGUUGAGGUUAGCGGAAUAUGUCAUGUAGCGGUGAAAUGCAUAGAUAUGACAUAGAACACCAAUUGCGAAGGCAGCUGGCUAAACAAAUAUUGACGCUGAGGCACGAAAGCGUGGGGAUCAAACAGGAUUAGAUACCCUGGUAGUCCACGCCCUAAACGAUGAUUACUCGACAUUUGCGAUACACAGCAAGUGUCUGAGCGAAAAGCAUUAAGUAAUCCACCUUGGGAAGUACGACCGCAAGGUUGAAACUCA
rnacentral:rRNA from 1 species